AUGUCACCCUUUAUGGUCUUUCUCUUUAGCGCAUGCAUGGAUGCAUACAAAUUAGCUAUCGGUGUGGAAACAUAUAAGGUUGAUAAUGCUGAUUCAGAAGCAGGAGGGAUGGCAGAGAAGGUAAUCCUGAAAGUGACAUUGGUGGGGCACCAUUUGUUGGAAAAACCAACCAGUUGCCUGUUGCCAUGCGACGACUUGCAUGCACAUAAUUUUCAAAGUCUUCCACUGACCAACGAGGCAGUGAGCACGGAACACACACAUCAUCGCCUAAGUACAAAUCUACACAUCUUCUUCAGGCUUUAG
rnacentral:rRNA from 1 species